rnacentral:rRNA from 1 species
UACGGGGAGGCAGCAGUGGGGAAUAUUGCACAAUGGGGGGAAAACCCUGAUGCAGCCAUGCCGCGUGUGUGAAGAAGGACCUUCGGGUUGUAAAGCACUUUCAGUAGGGAGGAAGGUAGUGUAGUUAACACCUGCAUUAUUUGACGUUACCUACAGAAGAAGCACCGGCUAACUCCGUGCCAGCAGCCGCGGUAAUACGGAGGGUGCGAGCGUUAAUCGGAAUUACUGGGCGUAAAGCGCAUGCAGGCGGCCUGUUAAGUCAGAUGUGAAAGCCCGGGGCUUAACCUCGGAAUUGCAUUUGAAACUGGCAGGCUAGAGUCUUGUAGAGGGGGGUAGGAAUUUCAGGUGUAGCGGUGAAAUGCGUAGAGAUCUGAAGGAAUACCAGUGGCGAAGGCGGCCCCCUGGACAAAGACUGACGCUCAGAUGCGAAAGCGUGGGGAGCAAACAGGAUUAGAUACCCUGGUAG